AUACUUACCUGGCAAGGGAGACACCGGGAUCAAGAAGGCGGUUCACCCAGGGCGAGGCUCAGCCAUUGCACUCCGGCUGUGCUGACCCCUGCGAAUUUCCCAAAUGUGGAAAUCUCGAUUGCAUAAUUUCUGGUAGUGGGGACUGCGUUCGCGCUCUCCCCU
rnacentral:snRNA from 8 species